GCAUGAUCAAGUGAACAGUGUGUCAUUGGAUCGAAUGCCUGAGCAUCCCCACACAACUUUGGUAGCUUCAGGUGUGACCCAACCAUCUAAUGGCGAGAUGGUUAUCCAAGUGCAAACACUGUUGAAUCAACCGACGGAUGAAAGAGUAGUGCUGCACAGU